rnacentral:rRNA from 1 species
AACGAACGCUGGCGGCAUGCCUAACACAUGCAAGUCGAACGAAGGCUUCGGCCUUAGUGGCGCACGGGUGCGUAACGCGUGGGAAUCUGCCCUUUGGUUCGGAAUAACAGCUGGAAACGGCUGCUAAUACCGGAUGAUGACGAAAGUCCAAAGAUUUAUCGCCAGAGGAUGAGCCCGCGUUGGAUUAGGUAGUUGGUGGGGUAAAGGCCUACCAAGCCGACGAUCCAUAGCUGGUCUGAGAGGAUGAUCAGCCACACUGGGACUGAGACACGGCCCAGACUCCUACGGGAGGCAGCAGUGGGGAAUAUUGGUCAAUGGGCGCAAGCCUGAUCCAGCAAUGCCGCGUGAGUGAUGAAGGCCCUAGGGUUGUAAAGCUCUUUUACCCGGGAAGAUAAUGACUGUACCGGGAGAAUAAGCCCCGGCUAACUCCGUG